GAUGAACGCUGGCGGCGUGCCUAAUACAUGCAAGUCGAGCGAACAGACGAGGAGCUUGCUCCUCUGACGUUAGCGGCGGACGGGUGAGUAACACGUGGAUAACCUACCUAUAAGACUGGGAUAACUUCGGGAAACCGGAGCUAAUACCGGAUAAUAUAUUGAACCGCAUGGUUCAAUAGUGAAAGACGGUUUUGCUGUCACUUAUAGAUGGAUCCGCGCCGCAUUAGCUAGUUGGUAAGGUAACGGCUUACCAAGGCAACGAUGCGUAGCCGACCUGAGAGGGUGAUCGGCCACACUGGACCUGAGACACGGUCCAGACCCCUCCGGGAGGCAGCAGUAGGGAAUCUUCCGCAAUGGGCGAAAGCCUGACGGAGCAACGCCGCGUGAGUGAUGAAGGUCUUCGGAUCGUAAAACUCUGUUAUUAGGGAAGAACAAAUGUGUAAGUAACUAUGCACGUCUUGACGGUACCUAAGCAGAAAGCCACGGCUAACUACGU
rnacentral:rRNA from 1 species